GACACAAGGACCACAGGGAGGAAAAGUACAGGUGUGCCUGCGCCCUGUCCCCGUCUCCACAGCCCUGCCCACUUUGCAACUGACCUGCAACUGUUCACCCCCAGGAUUGCAAACACACAGAUGUCCUGUGUUUUGAGACAGGAGAAGUGCAGCCAGCGAUUUAUCAUGAGUCGCUUGUUUGGUGACGGAACCUCUACCUGGUUGGCCGAAGGAGAGCUGUCUGGUGAGAGAAUCCAGGAUUGUUGCUGCUGCAGCUGACUAAUGACCAAGUCGCCUCCGGGGCCUUAAGUUUCUCAACUGGAGAAUGGAACAGUGGUCUUUAUCUCCCCAACUUCUUCUCUACAUGGUUGUACUAAUACUGAUGGAUGUCUGCGUAUGACCAUCUGGGAAUAUAUGGUAUUGCCCUUAUGCAAGAGAUGUGGAGGAUGUCAUGUAUCACAGAAAGCCCACUGUCAGCCCUUAGAGAAGAAAUUGAAAUGCACAUGCAGCAGUCUCAGUGACCGACGUUACCUAGCAGCAGUUCACAGUGCUAAUAAAUGUCAGAAAGCCGAUGGCCACCUCUGAGCACCUCUUAUAAUUGUAAAGACCAAAGGUAACUUGGA
rnacentral:lncRNA from 1 species